GGCAGCCUGUGCAAUUUCACUUGCCUCCAGGCUCCAACUCCCCCCAUUUUAGCUGUCAAAUUCAUUUCAUUUCUCUUCCCAUCACCACAGUCCUCUCGCGUUCCUUCAACCUCCACUUACUUGCACAAUCGCCACCCUCUUCAAAACCAACCUGCUCUCUCUCUCUCUCUCUCUGGGAGCUCAGAUCCAAAGUCUGAGCAAAGCAAAUUCGCUCAGCACCAAUGGAUCUGGGCAUGAACACGUACCAAGUUUUGAAGACGCGAGCCCAACACCUGUAAUCGACGGUGGUGGAGGAGUCAGAGUCAUCAGGACGCAGAGCAAGUGAUUAUGGGGUGAAAGGUUUGAUCGAUUUUGAGUCCUUGAUCUUACUCUGAAAAAGAAGAAGAAUCACCCUGACACUGCAAAAGUUUUGAGGUGCUAAAUAAGAUAAGUGCUACUUCACCAAAUCUCCCUGCUGUUUCUUCACUGCUGCUUCUAAGGUUGCUUUGGAGUGUUAACUUUUCUUGGUGUUUUGAUUGUAUGGGUAUUACUGAAGCAUUGCGAUUGCAGGUAGAACUCCAAAAGCGGCUUCAUGAACAACUUGAGCGUGACCGAUUUUUUCUGGAUAGAUUGGAGUGCAAGGUCAAACAAAAUAGUUACUUCAUCUCAUGACUGGAACUUGAGAAGACUUCCUUGUACCUACCUCCCUUGAAGAGGAAACAAGUUCGCAUUGAAUGAAUCUCUGAUCCAUACGAGAGGGAAAAGAGGCAGACUUGGCAUUGAAAGCCAUUUUUUUGUUUUUGUUUUUGGCAUUGGAGGAAUCUGGAUGUUGAAACACAUUGUAAAGAGAUGGCAUCGUGACCAAAUCCAGAGCUCUUUUCAUCACUGGAGUAGAAAUGAUAAGUGGUAGUUUUUUUCAGAAAUUUGAUGGGAAUGUUAAAACAGGCCAAGGUGUCCAAAUUCAGAAUCAAGUUGUCAAUAUGAUUGAAGCCUAGUCCCCAUUUGUCUAAUAUUCAGUAUAUAUAGACGCGCUUUAAUCUGGUCAUAUCAAGUACUUACACUAACUUUGAAGUUAGGAUAAGCAAAAUAAUGAAAACAGCCAAUUUCCUCUUUAUACAAUGUUUAUCCGUAACAUGUACUAGAAUUGAAGUUCUUUACCUCCAAAUGCAAUUACAUAUUAUCUGC